rnacentral:rRNA from 1 species
UACGGAGGGGGCUAGCGUUGUUCGGAAUUACUGGGCGUAAAGCGCACGUAGGCGGCUUUGUAAGUUAGAGGUGAAAGCCUGGUGCUCAACACCAGAACUGCCUUUGAUACUGCAUGGCUUGAAUCCGAGAGAGGUGAGUGGAAUUCCGAGUGUAGAGGUGAAAUUCGUAGAUAUUCGGAAGAACACCAGUGGCGAAGGCGGCUCACUGGCUCGGUAUUGACGCUGAGGUGCGAAAGCGUGGGGAGCAAACAGG